rnacentral:rRNA from 1 species
CCUACGGGGGGCAGCAGUGAGGAAUAUUGGUCAAUGGACGAGAGUCUGAACCAGCCAAGUAGCGUGAAGGGUGACUGCCCUAUGGGUUGUAAACUUCUUUUAUAUGGGAAUAAAACGUUCCACGUGUGGGAUUUUGUAUGUACCAUAUGAAUAAGGAUCGGCUAACUCCGUGCCAGCAGCCGCGGUAAUACGGAGGAUCCGAGCGUUAUCCGGAUUUAUUGGGUUUAAAGGGAGCGUAGGUGGAUUGUUAAGUCAGUUGUGAAAGUUUGCGGCUCAACCGUAAAAUUGCAGUUGAAACUGGCAGUCUUGAGUACAGUAGAGGUGGGCGGAAUUCGUGGUGUAGCGGUGAAAUGCUUAGAUAUCACGAAGAACUCCGAUUGCGAAGGCAGUUCACUGGACUGCAACUGACACUGAGGCUCGAAAGUGUGGGUAUCAAACAGGAUUAGAUACCCCAGUAGUC